rnacentral:rRNA from 1 species
GAUGAACGCUAGCGGCAGGCUUAAUACAUGCAAGUCGUGGGGCAGCGCAGUGUAGCAAUACAUGGGCGGCGACCGGCAAACGGGUGCGGAACACGUACACAACCUUCCUACAAGUGGGGAAUAGCCCAGAGAAAUUUGGAUUAAUACCCCGUAACAUAUAAAGAUGGCAUCAUUUUUAUAUUAUAGCUACGGCGCUUGUUGAUGGGUGUGCGGCUGAUUAGGUAGUUGGCGGGGUAAUGGCCCACCAAGCCUGCGAUCAGUAGCUGAUGUGAGAGCAUGAUCAGCCACACGGGCACUGAGACACGGGCCCGACUCCUACGGGAGGCAGCAGUAAGGAAUAUUGGACAAUGGGCGCAAGCCUGAUCCAGCCAUGCCGCGUGAAGGAUUAAGGUCC